rnacentral:tRNA from 1 species
GCCUGGGUGGUGAAAUCGGCAAACACAGGGCACUUAAAAUGCCCCGGCGAAAGCCUUACGGGUUCGAGUCCCGUCCCAGGCA